UUUUACAAAAACGACGUGUCCAA
rnacentral:snRNA from 1 species